AUGGCAGGCGACAAAAGCCUGGCAUGGAAACAGGCGGAGGCUGAUGUAGAGGAGCGGAGAGAUCAGGAGUUACGGCAGAGACGAGAGCACGAGAGGCACGGGUUGGCGAUCGGAGUUGGUCACGUUCCAGUGCCAUGUUUUCCGGUUUUCCGCACCGUGCCUUCAGUGCACAGUCACAGCCUGGUGCGUGCAGUACAUGCUCUCCGUACCUGCCGCGUAAAGAGGGGUAUCCAGUCAGGAAGGGUGGUGCCGGCUCAGCGCUCCUGGUCUCCAGUGCGCCUCCUCGGACCAGAAUAUCCUGCGCCGGCUCUGCUCAAGGUGCCUCCAGUGCGCCUGCACAGCCCAGUGCGUCCUGUGUCUGCGCCUCGAACGUGCCGGGCUAAAGUGGUGAUUCAGCCAGGAGGGGUUGUGCUAGCUCUAAGCUCCAGACCUCCAGUGUGCUUUCACAGCCCAGUGCGUCCUGUGCUGGUGCCCCGCACUUGCUGGAUUGAAGUGGGUAUCCAGCCAGGACGGCUUGUGCCUGCUCCACGAACCAGGCCUCCAGUGUGUCUCUCCAGCCUGGUGAGUCAUCUGCCUGCUCCACGGACCAGGCCUCCAGUGUGUCUCCCCAGCCUGGUGAGUCCUGUGCCUGCUCCACGGACCAGGCCUCCAGUGUGUCUCUCCAGCCCGGUGAGUCCUGUGCCUGCUCCACGAACCAGGCCUCCAGUGUGUCUCUCCAGCCCGGUGAGUCCUGUGCCUGCUCCACGGACCAGUCCUCCAGUGUGUCUCCCCAGCCCGGUGAGUCCUGUGCCUCCUCCACGGACCAAGCCUCCAGUGUGUCUCCCCAGCCUGGUGAGUCCUGUGCUUGCUCCACGCACCAGGCCUGCAGUGUGGGUGAGUCCGGAGCCUCCGGUGACUGUCCCCAGUCCGGGGCCUCCGGCGACGGUCCCCAGUCCGGGGCCUCCGGCGACGAUCCCCAGUCCGGGCCCUCCGGCGACGAUCCGCAGUCCGGGGCCUCCGGCGAUGGUUCCCAGUUCGGAGCCUCCGGCGACGAUUCACGGUCCGGUUCCACAGAAUCGGAGGGAUCAGCAGAGGGAGCGGGGGCUACGUCCCUAA
rnacentral:lncRNA from 1 species